AUACACAAAUCCCCGCUACACCACAACGCGCGUGUUUAAGUCCGGUAUAUGUGUACCGAUCGUACGUCGUCAUCGUCGUCUUCGUUGUGAUCCAAACCGCCGGGGCGAUAUUCAUAUCCAUUGUCAAGUUGACGAUGGCUGAUUAUCAAUAUGGAUUGUCUAAUAUUCAAGACAAUCAUAUUCUGCAUCAAGUUAUUGCUAAACGAAAAAAAAUGUGCGAAUCUAUCAUAAAUGAUCCACCAGUAUCUGACAGUAAUGCCUGGUGUCCCGGAGAAUUUGAUGGCUGGACGUGUAUUAACCGGACAAAGGCUGGCGAAGUAGCCAAAUUUCCAUGUCCUUAUUUUAUUUUGGGGUUUGAUACAAAACGUUUCGGUCAGAAAACGUGUCUGCCGGACGGCUCGUGGUUCAAGCAUCCGGACAGCAACAAGACGUGGUCCAACUAUACUACGUGCGUCGAUCUGGACGAUCUAAAGUUGAGGAAUCAAGUCAACAUGAUCUACAAAUGGGGAUACACGGUAUCGCUGGCUGCGUUGGCGGUUUCCAUAUUCAUAUUCUUUUAUUUCAGGAGCUUAACGUGCACUAGGAUACAGAUACAUAAGAAUCUGUUCAUAUCGCUGGCAGUCAAUAAUUGUCUGUGGCUAGUGUGGUAUGAGGCGGUGGUUGACAAUUUGCCAGUACUGAUGAUGAACGGGCUGGGCUGUAAGCUGCUGCAUAUUCUGGUCCAGUAUUUUCUGGUGGCCACUUACUUUUGGAUGUUUUGUGAGGGCUUGUACUUGCAUACACUGCUGGUUGUCACGUUCCUUACAGAGUCAAAAGUGAUGCCGUUCCUGCACACGAUCGGCUGGGGUAUACCGGCCCUGUUGGUGUCAACGUACGCGGUUCUCCGGACAGCCACUCCCGGCGAGACUUUACAUUGUUGGAUACACGAAUCUCUUUAUUCGUGGAUAUUGUCGGGUCCGGUGUGCCUGUCAAUGUUGGCCAAUCUCGUAUUUCUGAUCAACAUCGUCAGACUGCUGUUGGUCAAGUUGCACGCCCGGCAGAUCACCAUGUCCAGUCCAAAGCACGCGGCGCCUAGGGAACGGGCGCAGUCGUUCAGCCUCAGGAGCUUCAAACGGAAUAAUUGCAGUGUUGACAGCUACGAUAAGGCACCGACGUCGUCGAGUCGGACCGGGAAGGCAGUCCGGGCCACACUAAUUUUGAUACCGUUACUCGGGCUCCAGUACAUCGUGACGCCGUUCCGACCGGAACCCGGCACUUCUUGGGAGCCCGUGUACCAGGUUACAUCCGCAGUAGUCGCCUCGUGUCAAGGCUUAUGCGUGGCGCUGUUGUUUUGCUUUUUCAAUGGGGAGGUGAAGACGCCAACAGGGCUUAUAAUAAUAAUAUUAAUUGCUCUUAGUCCUUAGAUAACAACAAUUUUUUGUUCGGGUACGAGCAGGUACUCUCCGAAAUAAAGAAAAGAUGGAAACACUGCUGGAUCAACAAGAACGGGUCGUGGAAUCCUUGCCUGAGAGUCACGUCUGUAUCCUCGCCGCAAAACCACCCACGACUAUUGGUGACCGAAGACCAACAGACCCAGAGGACUGGAAGCAUACAAGUUUUGCCGCGAAAAGAUUCUGCUGAAUGUUUACAAAAUGUUCAACUCUAGAACACACAAAAAACGCGUUACGACAUUAUUUUUAUUUUUUUCUUAUACAAUUUAAUACGUGUAAUAUAUUAUGAUAUAAUAUUUUUCUGUCGCCGUUCAGACGAUGGCGUCCCUUAUCUGCGACUGAACCGGUUGUGUGGUGCCCGUGACGUUGGUGUGCGUCGUGCCACGUCUUUUGAUUCUCCGUAUGUACUUGUGAAAUGCUCCGUGUACGUCAACGUUGGCGAAACAAAACAACACGGAAACGCAAAGGCCCUGCAGAACACGUCAAUAAACGACACGGUUAGAAAAUGGCAGCAGCGGUUACUAGGGGCGUUCCCUCGACUGCAGUCAUUUCACUCACCUGAGUCGACACGAGUAUCACGGAAAAUAUUUGAUAAACUGUUUCCACGGUGGUCUUGUGCUUGGGCCGAUACGGUAUGAGAAUGUAGUGUAUGCCAAACAAGGGCACCAGGAUCAGCGCUGCCCUGACCGCCUUACG